UACAGAGGGCUCAAGCGUUGUUCGGAUUCAUUGGGCGUAAAGGGUGCGUAGGCGGCGCGGUAAGUCGGGUGUGAAAUCUCGGAGCUUAACUCCGAAACUGCAUUCGAUACUGCCGUGCUUGAGGACUGGAGAGGAGACUGGAAUUUACGGUGUAGCGGUGAAAUGCGUAGAUAUCGUAAGGAAGACCAGUGGCGAAGGCGGGGCUCUGGACAGUUCCUGACGCUGAGGCACGAAGGUCAGGGGAGCAAACGGG
rnacentral:rRNA from 1 species